UUUCAUGAUGAGAAAAACAAUGUUCACAGACCUGUACCGAAACACUAUGUGGAAAAACUUGUCCAACCGCUAUCUGAGA
rnacentral:snoRNA from 1 species